rnacentral:rRNA from 1 species
UACGUAGGGUGCAAGCGUUGUCCGGAAUUAUUGGGCGUAAAGAGCUCGUAGGCGGCCUGUCGCGUCGGCUGUGAAAACCCGAGGCUCAACCUCGGGCCUGCAGUCGAUACGGGCAGGCUAGAGUUCGGUAGGGGAGACUGGAAUUCCUGGUGUAGCGGUGAAAUGCGCAGAUAUCAGGAGGAACACCGGUGGCGAAGGCAGGUCUCUGGGCCACUACUGACGCUGAGAAGCGAAAGCAUGGGGAGCGAACAGG